ANNCAUGCAAGUCGAGCGGAGANGAGGUGCUUGCACCUUAUCUUAGCGGCGGACGGGUGAGUAAUGCUUAGGAAUCUGCCUAUUAGUGGGGGACAACAUUCCGAAAGGAAUGCUAAUACCGCAUACGCCCUACGGGGGAAAGCAGGGGAUCUUCGGACCUUGCGCUAAUAGAUGAGCCUAAGUCGGAUUAGCUAGUUGGUGGGGUAAAGGCCUACCAAGGCGACGAUCUGUAGCGGGUCUGAGAGGAUGAUCCGCCACACUGGGACUGAGACACGGCCCAGACUCCUACGGGAGGCAGCAGUGGGGAAUAUUGGACAAUGGGCGGAAGCCUGAUCCAGCCAUGCCGCGUGUGUGAAGAAGGCCUUUUGGUUGUAAAGCACUUUAAGCGAGGAGGAGGCUACUUAGAUUAAUACUCUAGGAUAGUGGACGUUACUCGCAGAAUAAGCACCGGCUAACUCUGUGCCAGCAGCCGCGGUAAUACAGAGGGUGCGAGCGUUAAUCGGAUUUACUGGGCGUAAAGCGUGCGUAGGCGGCUGAUUAAGUCGGAUGUGAAAUCCCUGAGCUUAACUUAGGAAUUGCAUUCGAUACUGGUCAGCUAGAGUAUGGGAGAGGAUGGUAGAAUUCCAGGUGUAGCGGUGAAAUGCGUAGAGAUCUGGAGGAAUACCGAUGGCGAAGGCAGCCAUCUGGCCUAAUACUGACGCUGAGGUACGAAAGCAUGGGGAGCAAACAGGAUUAGAUACCCUGGUAGUCCAUGCCGUAAACGAUGUCUACUAGCCGUUGGGGCCUUUGAGGCUUUAGUGGCGCAGCUAACGCGAUAAGUAGACCGCCUGGGGAGUACGGUCGCAAGACUAAAACUCAAAUGAAUUGACGGGGGCCCGCACAAGCGGAGGANCAUGUGGUUUAAUUCGAUGCAACGCGAAG
rnacentral:rRNA from 1 species